GUUUAAUUACGAGCUAGACUUUCGGUAAAUAUUAUGUCUGUUUUAGAAAGAAAUGGGUGUAAGUAGAACGAAUGCACAGAUAAUUUUAAUAGAAUGCCCAUGUAAACAAGCUCUAUUGUGAGUAGCAUUUUUUGAUUUUAAAAGAAAGCGGGUGAUGAAUUUGGAUUUUAAGUCCGGUUUGCAGCGGUGCAGCACCUGUAGCGCGACCUACUCAUCACUUUUGAAACAGCUGUAGAGAGAAUGGGAGUGGCAACUCUGCUGCAAUGAAUAAUGCCCUAUGGAGCUGGAAAGUGAAGCAAGAAAGCAUCAAUUAACGGGGAUAUGAGGUCAUAUGGAAAGGAGAUAGAUUUUGGAAAAUUUAGGAGGGAGAAAGAAUUCCCAUGUGGCUCUGGACAAAGGACAUAAGAAGGCUAUGCUGGCUCUCCCUGGACACUAGAGAUGUUUUUCCUGUUGUUUUUGU
rnacentral:lncRNA from 1 species